rnacentral:rRNA from 1 species
GGUGAGUAACACGUGGGUAACCUGCCUGWAAGACUGGGAUAACUCCGGGAAACCGGGGCUAAUACCGGAUGGUUGUUUGAACCGCAUGGUUCAAACAUAAAAGGUGGCUUCGGCUACCACUUACAGAUGGACCCGCGGCGCAUUAGCUAGUUGGUGAGGUAAYGGCUCACCAAGGCAACGSUGCGUAGCCGACCUGAGAGGGUGAUCGGCCACACUGGGACUGARACACGGCCCARACUCCUACGGGAGGCAGCAGUAGGGAAUCUUCCGCAAUGGACGAAAGUCUGACGGAGCAACGCCGCGUGAGUGAUGAAGGUUUUGGGAUCGUAARCCUCUGUUGUUAGGSAGAACARUACCGUUCGAWWAGGGCGGACUUGC